rnacentral:rRNA from 1 species
GUCGAGCGAACGGAUAAGGAGCUUGCUCCUUUGAAGUUAGCGGCGGACGGGUGAGUAACACGUGGGUAACCUACCUAUAAGACUGGAAUAACUUCGGGAAACCGGAGCUAAUGCCGGAUAACAUUUGGAACCGCAUGGUUCUAAAGUAAAAGAUGGUUUUGCUAUCACUUAUAGAUGGACCCGCGCCGUAUUAGCUAGUUGGUAAGGUAACGGCUUACCAAGGCAACGAUACGUAGCCGACCUGAGAGGGUGAUCGGCCACACUGGAACUGAGACACGGUCCAGACUCCUACGGGAGGCAGCAGUAGGGAAUCUUCCGCAAUGGACGAAAGUCUGACGGAGCAACGCCGCGUGAGUGAUGAAGGUUUUCGGAUCGUAAAACUCUGUUAUUAGGGAAGAACAAAUGUGUAAGUAACUGUGCACAUCUUGACGGUACCUAAUCAGAAAGCCACGGCUAACUACGUGCCAGCAGCCGCGGUAAUACGUAGGUGGCAAGCGUUAUCCGGAAUUAUUGGGCGUAAAGCGCGCGUAGGCGGUUUCUUAAGUCUGAUGUGAAAGCCCACGGCUCAACCGUGGAGGGUCAUUGGAAACUGGGAAACUUGAGUACAGAAGAGGAAAGUGGAAUUCCAUGUGUAGCGGUGAAAUGCGCAGAGAUAUGGAGGAACACCAGUGGCGAAGGCGACUUUCUGGUCUGUAACUGACGCUGAUGUGCGAAAGCGUGGGGAUCAAACAGGAUUAGAUACCCUGGUAGUCCACGCCGUAAACGAUGAGUGCUAAGUGUUAGGGGGUUUCCGCCCCUUAGUGCUGCAGCUAACGCA